CCGGGCCAGCAUCCGAGAGCCCGGACUGGAGAUUUCUGAGAGAGCAGACACCAUCUUAUUUCUGUUGAAUUGUAUUUAGUAACUCAAAAGGCAUAUACCAAGCUGUCAGAAGCAGCUUCAUUUAAAAGAUCUCUUAACAAGACUGAAUCAUAGAAGCUAGGCGUCUUAGUCCGUUCUCAUGCUGCUGUCAAGAACUGCCCAAGACUGGGUAAUUUAUAGAGAAAAGAGGUUUAAUUGACCUCACAGUUCUGCAUGGCUGGGGAAGCCUCAGGAAACUUACAAUCAUGGCGGAAGGCAUCUCUUCAAAGGGUGGCAGGAGGGAAUGAGUGCAAGCAGGGGAAAUGCCACAUGCUUAUAAAACCAUCAGAUCUUGUGAGACUCACUCUUUAUCACGAGAACAUCAUGGGGGAAACUGCCCCCAUGAUCCAAUUACUUCCACCUGGUCCCACCCUUGAAACAUGGAGAUUAUUACAAUUCAAGGUGAGAUUUGGGUGGGGACACAUAGCCAAACCAUAUCAUUAGGAUGCUUGAGUCACUGUUUUGGAGAUAGUUCUGAAUUCUGGGCACUAAGGAAUACCGUUUGGACACUGAUCCUUUUAUGUUAAAGAUGGUGAACUGGUGAGUUGCAGUGUUCUCCUUUCAGUUUGUUAAUUGGGAAUCCUAUAGUUGAGCCUAAAUUUUCAGUGUUUUGCUUUUUUUUUUUUAAUCAUAAAUGGCAAAUAUUACGCCUACCCAGAAUACGGUGCUUUGAAACCCAAAUGUUAAGGAGAUAAAUGGGUAUACCUAACUGCUUGGGAUGAACAAGAUUUUGGGGAAUAGGAGGAUGGCUUCUUUAGAGACCUAACAGUUAUUUGUGUGGCCUGGAAAAGUGGGAUAGCUCAUUCUGAAUCAUUUUCAAACUUGUCCAGAGAGCUCUGGGGCUCCUCAGAGGAACCUCAGUACUACUAGUGGGAAUAGGGUUGCCAAGAAGGGCAGGGGUCUUAUCCCCACAUCCUUUAACUAAGGAACUUCUACUAGACACAAAGGAAAACAAAGAACUUUGAAUAUAAUAAAUUAGCUUUUGCUUCUUUGUCAUAGAAUCUUCCUGAGUUACUGUUUGUGUACCAACUCUUGAGGGUUCCAUCAUGUAUGAUGAGGAGCCACAUCAAGACCUUUCACCUGUGCUCUCUUAUUCUUUUCUUCUGCCAUUCCCUCUGCCCCUCUCACACAAACCUUUUUGUAGAAAGGAAAGCAGGGACAAAUAACACUUGAGUUCCAGGCGUUGGGAACUAGUUAAGAUCUGUUAGAAAAGAAAGAUUUAAACAAUUUUUGAAAGCCCUGAAAAUUAUCUUCCUAAAUCUUUUACCUAAAUGGAAAUUUGUAUUAUCUUCAUUAGGAAGAAUAUAUAUGGAAGUAAUCAACAAACUGAACUAGUUAGAAAGCAGUGUAUUUUAGCCAAUAAUGAGCCUUAACCUUUGCAGGGUUAGCACAUGGAAAUCGUUAUUAUAUACUAGCAGAUACAGCUAUGCCACCAUACUUCUUAAGUCAAGGACCAAUUCUUCAUUAUACCAGCGUGUUCUGAUUUUCACAGUUAAUCUUAUUUGGUUGCUAAAUGCCUUACGUACCUAAUGAAAUGAAAUUUGGGAAUUGACUAGCUUAAUUUUGCAGUGUGAAGUGGUUCCCUUCUCUUUAUUUUAAAACAUUUUUUCUCCCAAAAUUUUGAAGAUAUUUUGACUAAUUCAAAUUUCAUAUAAUUUUAAGAGUACUAUAAUUUAUAAGCUAUAGAGGUGUGUGAUUUGAAUGCUUCCUAUCUAAUGCGACUGGAAUUUUUCUCCAAUUAUAAGAGAGACAAGACCAUCAUUCUCCAGUUUCAAA
rnacentral:lncRNA from 1 species